AGUGAACGCUGGCGGUAGGCCUAACACAUGCAAGUCGAACGGCAGCACAGUAAGAGCUUGCUCUUACGGGUGGCGAGUGGCGGACGGGUGAGGAAUACAUCGGAAUCUACUUUUUCGUGGGGGAUAACGUAGGGAAACUUACGCUAAUACCGCAUACGACCUACGGGUGAAAGCAGGGGAUCUUCGGACCUUGCGCGAUUGAAUGAGCCGAUGUCGGAUUAGCUAGUUGGCGGGGUAAAGGCCCACCAAGGCGACGAUCCGUAGCUGGUCUGAGAGGAUGAUCAGCCACACUGCAACUGAGACACGGUCCAGACUCCUACGGUAGGCAGCAGUGGGGAAUAUUGGACAAUGGGCUCAAGCCUGAUCCAGUCAUACCGCGUGGGUUAAGAAGGCCUUCGGGUUGUAAAGCCCUUUUGUUGGUAAAGAAAAGCAGCAGGUUAAUACCCCGCUGUUCUGACGGUACCCAAAGAAUAAGCACCGGCUAACUUCGUG
rnacentral:rRNA from 1 species